UUUCGUCUAAAAAAAAACCUUAUACUUUCACCUUUCGCAGUUUGGCUUAAAAACCCAGUAUUUAAAUAAAAUUAUAGAACAUCACACAAUUGAAAUGUUUCCGAACGCCCUAUUAAUGUCAAAUCAACUUAUUGAUUUUUCGAACUAGACUCUAACCGCGCCGCCUUUGUUAAGGCAUAGAAAGCUUAUUGAUUCUCAAUUAGGUGCGCGGUAACUUUGCAGUGAUAAGUGAUAGUGAUAGUGUACCUCGUUAUUCUUUUGAAUUAUUGCCUAUCGGACUUGAGGGCUGAUUUGGGCCGCAAACCCAAAUACCACCAUGGAAACACCACACUAGGCUGACCCAUCUGUGAAAUGGAUCCCGACGACAGCGGCAUGGAGUGGACGUUGGCUUGGCUGGAGGAGGUGGGCUACCAUCUGCAUCAACCACCCUAACCUUUGGACCUUUCGUGAAAUACAAAACCUCAAGACAUAGGAUUAAGGUGUUAAAUGGGUUGAUAUGUUUAUUUUACGGCCAGUUACCACGCAGGCUUCACUUGCAGUAGUUAGAACUUUAUUUUCAAGCGAGUAAAGUCGUUCUUCGAUCUGAUUUUUCGCCGGUCAGCUGUUUCGACGUUGACUUGUCGAAUUUUCAUAACAGAAGAAUGUCGCCGACGUUUUCUCUUAUCUUUCAUUUUAAGAGCUACGUACGCCCAAUGCUUUAUAGACGGGCGCCUAUUUGUGAACAUCUUUGGACUGGUUUGGACAGCGGUGGCGAACACCUCACCAAUUGUCGGACUUUCGGAUGGAGGGCCUCCUGGGGAUUCAGUACAGCGUUAUCGACUAGAUACCUGGUCGAUAGUCCAGUAAGGAAAUCUAGUUAUAAGUAAUAGUAUAAACUUCUCUUUAAGCUGUAGUUUUAACUUAACUCUGUGGUUAUUUUUUCAAUAGGUUCUUUACCGCACAAAUUAUUUUGCAUUUACUAUUUUUUUUUUUAUAUUCGCCUAUCUACUAUUUAGGAUACGAAAUGAUUUCGCUAUCUUUUUUAAGUUUGAUUGCACCGUAGGCUUAGAUAUAAUUAGGCUAGCAUAAGGGCGGUUUUCACGGUUGCAUAUAAACUCGAUAGUUUAAACUGAUCUCGGUUCUUGCGUUUAUCGAGUUCAUUCGAACUUGCUACGGCAUAAACUUAUGCAAUUUACGUCAGAUAUUAUUCGGCGUUUAAAUUACCAACCAUUUAAUCUCGAUAUAUCCGAACUUGUAGAGGUCACAGUUUUAAUGUGACUAGUAAAAUCGUCCUUCCAAGCGUUGAGCACUCGUUGACCAUAUUCCGCUGGUUGCCGAACUGUUGGUUGACGCACCCCGCGCGGUUGCGGGCAACCAAUACUACGGACUUUGCAGUUCGGAGGUCUCCGCAGUGUCAGCGCUCAAAGGUCGCACGCAUGCGACGAGGACUUUUCGGAAAAGUGUACAACCGUUAUAUUGUAAGGUUAUUUGUAAGAGGAUCGCUCACAAUUGGGGUUACAGAAUAUUUUUGCCAAUUGGCACCGGUGUUGUUUAGGGUCGUAUAACAACUAAAAACAUCUUUCAAGUCCAAAUCUCUGACUCUCUGGCUAGUUGGAAAAUAC